UCGACGACUAGCCCCGUAGAGGAUAACCUCUGCUGCGUCGUCCAGAGUCAACACGACCACGGGAGCGCACGCCACAUGGUGUCUGUGUGUGCAUGUGAGUGCAACCCAUGGAGGAAAAAGCGCAGACCACGUGCUCGAGCUCCUCUCCCAACACCCGCCUCCGCACCUGUGCAGCCUUGCUGUCGCCGCGCACUCUCUCUACCGCUCGGCCGUCCACAGCAUCCUCCCCUCAUUUUUUUUUCUCACUGCUUUGCUCCCUCUCUCGCCCCAACACUUCCAUCACCCUCACUGAGGGCGCGAGAGCGGCACUCGCGUGUAGUUGACGGAAGGAUGAAGACGAAGGAGAGCUGUCGCGAGUGGCGGCGAUGCAUGUGCUCAUGGAGUGGCGGCUAGACAACAGCUGCGAUGCGUGCCGCUGAACAGCUUUAAGAGAAACAAACCCGCAUCCAUCCUCCUGCCUACAUGCAUGUAUACUCUCGUGAAGGCGCGCAUGGGAUAGCGAAUAUUGGCGGCUACCUCUCGCUCUCUCGCCCCUUCCUACGCCAGCGGAGGAGUGUGCACCGGCCCCUGCGGGUGGAGGCACACGCAUCUUUUUUUGUUCUGUGUACGCAUUCUUCGAGACACAGCGGUGCGCCGAGGUCAGGGGAGAGGGGCGAUCGAUUCUCUUUCUCGUCCAGCGCAAUCGCGGUGCUUGCUCUGCCUGUUAGUGCCACUUCUGACUUGCGUUCGCUUUGGGAAUGCGCCCCAGUGACGUCAUGGUCCUCUUCUCUCUCGUUGUUUCCACUCGCCAUGCCUUUCGAGUAAGUCAUGCCCCCCCCCCUCUUCUGACGCCUCCACCCGGUGAGUCAGGAAGCUGGAAGGACGAGCGGCUCCGCACUCCCGUCCGUGCACACAGGCACAGGCAUAUACACGUACCGAUGCGCUUGUAUGGAGAGACGCGCUCUGCUCCCGCUGGCAUGGCCCUCUCUGUGUAAGCGGCACGACCGCACACAUGGCAGAGGUCGGGCCGACUGGGACGCGUGUGCCGACUCGGCCUAUGGCCUCGGGCGUACCUCGCUCUCCCGCCUCUUCUAUCUGCACGCCUGUCGCGCUGGCGAAGUAUAGGCGAUAUUAGGAUGCACACGUGUACACUCUCUGCGCUCCCUCCGUCCCUCUUCUCGCUCUUCUCUUGUCCCCCUCUCUCUCUGUGUGUGCGUCGUCGCCUCUGGCAUCUCGCCGGCGAGCAG
rnacentral:misc_RNA from 1 species